rnacentral:rRNA from 1 species
GAUGAACGCUGGCGGCGUGCUUAACACAUGCAAGUCGAACGAGUGGCGAACGGGUGAGUAACACGUGGGUGAUCUGCCUUGCACUUCGGGAUAAGCUUGGGAAACUGGGUCUAAUACAGGAUAGUGCAAGAUGAGCUAGCGGCCUAUCAGCUUGUUGGUGGGGUAAUGGCUACCAAGGCGCGACUGGGCGCCGGCCUGAGAGGGUGUACGGCCACAUUGGGACUGAGAUACGGCCCAGACUCCUACGGGAGGCAGCAGUGGGGAAUUUUGCACCAUGGGGGAAACCCUGAUGCAGCGACGCCGCGUGAUUUAGAAGGCCUUCGGGUUGUAAAAAUCUUGUCUAUGGGAAGCAGUACCAUAGGAAUAAGGACCGGCUAAUUACGUGCCAGCAGCCGCGGUAAUUC